GAAACCGCUCCAGCGCCUUCCCUCUUUUUUCCCCAUUUUAAAGCCUCUCCAGGCCCUUACGCGAAUCUACACGCAUACACAUCCACUCCCCUGCGCGCCCAAGGACCACUCGUCCGCUUUCCACACACUUCUCUCACCCCCGCCGCGUGACGAAGAAUACCGCGACAAGACUCCCCCUCCUCUCAAGCAUUGCUGGUUUCAAGAAGACCUCCGACCUUACCAUACUCUUCUCUAUCCUCCUCCGAAAAGGGAGUGACGGCCACCAUCACCAUCACGCGGACCGAACUGGCGUGCGCGUAGACACGCACUCGGAGCGGUUGCGUCUCAUCUCUCCUUUUCCGUUCAUUGUACUUCUUUGUCUUCGCUGUCGUUUGUGGGCGUGUGUGCGUAUUUGUAUCGGCGCUCUUCCGCCGACCUCUUCCUCUGUCGCUGUCGCGUGCACGGCGGACUGUACUCGCCAUUCACGUCACCUUUCCGUGCGCCCCUCCCCCGCCCGCUCGCUACACAGAGCGACCAAUUCGCAUACACACACACACAUAUAUAUAUAUACAUACGCAUGUAUGUAGAUAUAUAUAUUUAUCCCCUUCUCUCUCAGCCGCACAUACGCUAACUUUUUUUUCGGUUGUUGGAUUGCCGUUGUCCUCAUCCGCAGGCAAGUGUCUCGGCGUCUCUCGUGCCGCCUCUUCCAUCUCAUCCUACUCGCCUGCCUCCAUCUCUCUUGUGCGGUCUCGCUUCUGAUCUCGGGCAAGUGCGCGGGCCUCACUCGCCAAGCAGCUUUCCUUCUUAUUUCUUGCGUUUGUGUGGCGUGAGUCCGUGUGUCGGUGUCACUGAGUCUGUGGUCACGGCCACGAGAGUCCGCGCAGCCACGGACUGCACCGAGUACAAAAAUUCGUACACGCCAGCCCUCUCCCCCCUCUUCCUUUCACUGCGCCCCUCACACACUCCUGCACAAGCACCGUCGUUGCUGUGGCGUGUUUGGGCGGCUCCCUUCUCGUUGGAUUCUCUUUUCUUCUUAACGCUGGUGUACGUGUUUACGCGCGCCGCUUAUUACUUUUUUUGUUGUCAUUGCUGUUGUUUAGUUUCGUUGUAGCGUGCACACGCGUUCGUGUCUGCUGCCUGUGCGUUCGUGCGUGCGAGAGAUAGUGGAGUCCCUAGCACACAGACACACACACACACACACACGCACACAGACACAGAUUGGUCUUGCGCGCGCCCCUGUUGGUAUUCAUUGUUGAACCGCCCGCCUCGCCCAUCGCACCGCACUGCACCUUCUUUGCCGUUCGCGUUCCCUCUUCUGUUGCGGCCUUAGGACAACCUAUGUGUGUGUACGGUGACUCAGACUCUUCGAGGGCGCUAUAAUCAUGUCGUACCGUGCACGCCAAUCUGAGUUGCCCAAGUGGUUUCCUCAGGAGGAGGGUGUAGCGGCCAACCGCAUCAGUGCCCCUGUGACGGACGACGACUUGAGGCGUGACUUUGACAGCGAGGUGCUCGAGCUGGAGCAUGACAAGUCCGUCAGCCGCAAGGAACGCGCUGCAAGGAAGAAGGAACUGUUGAAGCGCCAGGCUGUCGUGGAAGAGGAGCGUGAGCGCCGUGCCAUCGCCGCGCUGGAGACGAGGCUACCUCGGCCGGAUUGGUACUCGAGCGACGACGAGGCCGAGUUCAUCCAGGAUGGUGUAGAGGCGGAAAAGAUCAGCGAGCUCAGGACGCAGCCAGAGGGCGGCGUUGGGCUUGUGUUCUGCGUCGUCUACACGGCGCUGAGCGCGGUAGCGUUUGUCUUUCACUUCACGAGCUCCUGCCCGAUCCCGUGGAUGCGUAGCGAGUCGGGCCGCAAGUACGGCGUGUGGCGCGCGACAGGCGGCGGCCAGCCGGACCUCAAGGUGAGCGACAUCCACGAUUGCUCGUACGAGAUGCAGUUCUGGCAGGCCGCGGCUGCCAUGUCCGUGUUGGCCACGUUUGCCUCGCUUGGCGCCAUGAUCAGCGGCGUGCUGCUGUGCGUGAACAAGGGGCACAUGGGCGCCUCCUUUAUCCUCAGCUUCUACAGCUUUUCCUUCUCGCUCGUCUCGUGGGCGCUCGUGGUGGCGCUCUACCACUCCUUCCGCUGCGGCAAGGGCACCUUUGCCGGCGGCGUGGCUCACCUCGACACCGGCGUCGCGCUGACGCUGAUUGGGUGGGUGACGCACAUAGCCGCCCUCACCGUACUCGGCGUACACUUCGUCAAGUACUGGACGCGCUCGAUUAAUAGCGGAAAGACACGUGCGGUGCGCUUCAUAUACGUGGCGGUCGGCGUCGCCACGAUAUUCUUGUACUCUGUGGGCCAGGCCUACACCAUGUGGGGCAAGGCGUUUCCGCAGGUCGAGGCGUCUGUCUCACUGUGGCACGUGCGUAUCUACGACCGUAAGACGCGGCUGUCCACCUUCCUGAGCCGCGGCGCGUACAAGUGCCCCGCCAUCACCCACCGCAUGAAGGCCGCGGCGGCCUUAAUGAUCAUGAGCAUCAUCUGGCUCUUCUUCGCCGUCGUCCUCGGCACAGGCGCGUGCUACAAAUCGCAGUACAUCAAGAUCUCCAUCGUGUUCGGCUACGCCUCCUGCAUCUUCGCUCUCACUGCGUGGAUCACACUACUCGUGACGUGGAACGGCCGCCUGUGCACCGGUGUCACGCCGAGCGGCCAGUCGUCCUGGACGGACAUGGGGUACAACGGCAUCCCGUCCGGCAUCCAGAAUGCGCAGAUCAACUUCAGUGGCUACAGCCUGCGUGAGGGUUUCGGUCUGAUUGUGGGAGGCUGGGCCAUCAGCACUGUGGCUCUCAUCUUCAACACCGUCCUGUGGGACAUCUAAGGCUGUGCGUGUGUGGUGUCGACGUGCUUCUGUUAUGAUGCCGCUCCUCUUCCACGCAGACUCACGCACGCACAUCCAACAAGUCCCCCUUCCCCUCACCCUCCGGACGAAAAAAAAAGACCUCGGAUGUGAUAGCAGCGUGGGCAGCGGUGCAUCGGCCUCGCGCGCUUCGGCACCGCACCGCCGCCUGUACGAACGCUAAUACUUGUUUCUCUGCUUGUGACAAGAAAAACAACUAAAAGGCAGCGCCGCCGAGCCAUCGCUGCCGCAGCCGUGGCGUUGGCAGCCAUCACUGCGCGAUACACAGUGGAUGCGUGAGCCCCCCCCCCGCCCCUUCGCCUUCCCUCUUCAUCUUGGCUACAGGUGCAGGGCGUGCUGGGCCCCACCGUUUGUUUUCCAUGCUCCCCCACCCCCUUUCGCUUUGGUUGCUUGUUCGUCUGCGCGCCGAUGUCUGUGAGGGCAGGGUAAGAUCGGGGGAGGGGCGUGUGCUGCUUCGUGGUUUCGCAGAGAUGCAAGAGACGUGCGCAGUUGGCAGGCGCGUGGGAGCCGGGAGGGGGCUGGCAGAGCGGUGGCGGAAUAGCGAGAGAGGUCAGACGUGAACGGUGUGCUGUGCGCCGCCUCUCGCGUUGCAUCUAUGCAUCCGCAAACGCCCCCACGUGGAACCUCUUUCGCACGGCACGAGCCGGCGUUGCAUUCGUUCUUUCCUUGCACUCCCCUUUUCUCUCAGCCUCCUCGUCCCCUCCCCUCUUUUUUUCCGGCCUUUGCCGAUCUUGCUAGCGGUCUCUCUCUACCUCUCUGUGCGCACGUACACAUGCAGAUGUGCAUGUGCAUGCGUGUGGGCCUUUCCGUACCGUUCUUUCUGUUUGUGCGUUGCCGUUGUUGUCUUCCGUGUACGAUGCUCAUUGUUUAUCAUUGAUAACCCGAGUCACCGAGGGACCGGCGAGAUGGCGGCAGCUAUCAGUGCCACUUGCCUCUUUCUACUGAUACCAGCAUCUCGCGCACUUCCUACGCUUUUCCUCGCCCGCAUUCUCUGUGUACUUGUGCGCGGCUCUGCACACAACCGCCAUCCCCCCACCCCUCUUCUCUCCACCGAGCUGGCCUUUGCAACCAGCCGCUCUCGUGUCUGCGCGUGCGUCUCUGUGCCUCCCUCAGUGUGUGUCGAGGGGGCGGGGGUCCGUGUGCUUGGCGCCCCUCCAUCGCACUUCCUUUGUUGUUGUUUUCGUAGUUUGCACUGUUCCCAUAUUUAUUACGAGCUUUUAUUGCGUUGUCUCCUCAUUUUACCUUGAUGAGCAGCUGUGCACGCGAGUCUCUGCGUGUGCCGGAAGGUGUGUGCGCCUGUGCGGGCGUGGGGACGCUCUUUGUCCGCCGCGCCGCCUUCUCCCGUCGACUUUAUCUUCUUUUUUCUGUUCCUUGAAGCACCCCACUACUUCUCCCACACUCGCAUACCCCGCACACCUGCACACUCCGCCCUCGCUCCCCCUUUUUUGUUUGUUAUUUUUUCUCUGUCCCUCUCUUCAGCUCCUCCUGCCUCUGUGUGUGUGUGUGUGUGUUUGCGUGUGCAUCGUGCCCGACCUUCUCAUGCAGCACCGGCGGUGGUGCCGACGUACGCAAGUGCGUGCCUGCGCGUGUCUCCCAGGUGCAUUGGAGGGCUGCAUACACUCUCCCAUCUCCUUGCAUCUUCCCCUGCGGCGCGAGGUCGAGGCAGCCAAGUGCACGAAGGGCCGAAUAAAGUGAAAGGGCGUUCGUGUGUGUGUGUGCGCUCAGGGACAACCACACCACAUAAGCCGACGAGAGGCAGCAGAGGAAGAGCGAGAGAGGUGGAGAGCUUGAAGGACGGCGCUAACGGUGGUGGUGAUGGUGAUGAGGGGGGAGCGACUCUGGAGGAAAACGAAGGGGGCCGAAAUGCAGGCGUGAGCGAGCAACCCCAGCGGAGGGGACAGACAGGGUUUCUCAGAUGCGAGGUCGCAUUCGACAACAUCGUCACCGCUCGAGGGAGAGCGGGGUAUCUCUUGCCCACCUCAAUCACCUGCUCUCUCCUCCUUCGCCAGAGGCAGGUCUCGCAUCAUACCCACCACUCCCCCCACCCCCACCACCAACACAGCCACCUCUUCUCUCUGCGGUUCGGUUCUUCUCCGUGCCCUCCCAUCUCUUGACAUUCAUAUGCGUCUCUCUGUGUGUUUUUUUUUUUGGAGAGGGGCGUUUGUGCGAGGGAGCGAGGUGAUGUUGACCCGCUUUAUAAUGCCUAAGCGCAUACGCGUUUAUGUGUGUGUGCCCGUCUUUUCACGCACACGUAUGAGGGAGCGGGGGGCUUGAAGCCCCCUGUGCUUCACCACUUUUUAUUUUUUUUCUUUACCUGCCUCUGUCGAUUCGCUUCUCAGGCUGGUCAACUGUGCGCACGUGUGUGCGUGCGAGUGUUUUGCGAGGGAGAGGGAAGGAGCGUGCCGCUCAGCAGGUGAUGUGAGGAGCGCCGUAGAAUGUGUCUGUGUCUGUCUCUCUUUCCCUCUCCCCCUCGGUGUCUAUUCGUUGUUCUCUGUAUAACGAGGAGUCGUUGUUGUGUCUAUUUGCGGCUCUCGCGUUGUCCCUUAGCGGGGAUGUGGUGUGAGUGCGCGUGUGUGCGUCCCGUUCAUUCUUCCCGCCACUAUGUCUCGCAGCCUGGUGAUUGCUCUGUUUUCCUUCUCUCUUUGGUGCGCAUAUGCCUGUCUAUGUCUGCGCGCGCCCCUCGCUGUUGACGCCAUCAUCCCCUCAAUGCCUCUCCCCCCCCUUCCAUCCUCUUCUCCUUCCCCACGCAGCACAACAACGAGGGAUAGAGCGCUAAGCAAAAUCCCCCCAAAGGAGAAACAUGCGAAUGAGCAGGAAGCAAGUAAGGAAACAGGAGGAAGCGGCAUCCACCGCGGCACCGCCAACCGUCACGGCGACGGGGCCGAUGGGGACGAGGGGCGCAUAAUGUGGGCGCGAAAGGGAGGGAAAAAAAACGGAACACUUCGCCGUUGUUUCCGUAACUGCCUCGCUUCGACUGCGGCCGAGCCCCCUCGACCCCUCGCCCGUUUUGCAGUCAGGCGCCACCACACACGCGUGGGCGCGUCGUGUACAGGUACCCCCCCCUCCCCUCUCUCUCCUACCCUCGCCCUCCGAGGUGCACUCCGGCCGACCCCUCCCCGGCUGAGGACUGCACUUGCUCUCUGAGAAAGUCAACGGUGAGUAGCGUGAGUGAGGCACCCGACGCCGCUGUCUCGGGCGCGUGGAA
rnacentral:misc_RNA from 1 species